AUGGAGAAUCUAACUAAGAUUUUUUUUAACGCAUCUGCCUGUGAGAACCAUCGAGUCCAGUUGGAUAGUGAUCCCUUGUUUCACACGCGAGCUACAUAUCAUAAUUCUGGCAGAGGAACAGGUCCUGUGUCGGAAAGAAUGUCAAGGAAUCUGAGGUUACCAAUUGGGAUAGCAAGGCCUGAAGUGAAGGGUGAGAUGGGUAGUGUGUUCCCUGGGAGAGCCGGCCUAGUACAUGAAAUUCCAACUGCACAAAAUGUAUUGCAAUUCUAUGACAAGAUGGUUCAUAGUAUGAGGAGUGAUCGCGACAAGUGGGCAUUGGAAAUGGUUCAAGCACGUAUGACCUUGGUCCUACUCAAUGGGGAUGAUUUCAUACAUGAGUUUGGUCCUGAUGGAGAAUUGACAACAAUUGGCUGGGCAGCCUUCUCACGUAUGCUGACUAGUAAAGAUGCACGAAUGUACGACGAAUGGAAGAUAAGGUGGAGGCAUCUAUUCGACAUCCAUUUUGUGGAACACCUGAUGGAAAACUCGGAUGACCUGGAUUAUGGCCUACUCGCAAGUAUGAUGGAUGAGGAUGUGCUUGGAUACAAAUUACAAUGA
rnacentral:rRNA from 1 species